UACGUAGGGUGCGAGCGUUGCCCGGAUUUACUGGGCGUAAAGGGCGCGUAGGUGGCGACCCAAGUCGAUGGUGAAAGCUCGCCGCUUAACGGCGAGUCGGCCACCGAUACUGGGUUGCUUGAGCACUGUAGAGGCUAAUGGAAUUCCGGGUGUAGCGGUGGAAUGCGUAGAGAUCCGGAAGAACACCGGUGGCGAAGGCGGUUAGCUGGGCAGUUGCUGACACUGAGGCGCGACAGCGUGGGGAGCAAACGGG
rnacentral:rRNA from 1 species